AAGCUUGAGCACUGGGUGGGUAUUGUUUGGGUCUUGGCUGUCCCCUACCAAAGCUACAUGCUAGAGGUGUGGACUCCAAGGUGGCAUUGCCAAGAGGUAGUGGAACAAUUAAGAGCUAAUGAAGGGUCUUCACAUCUCUGGGUGUAGGUCCUUAAAAGGGAUGUUGCCUCCAUGUCAUUCAUCACAUCCUGUCUCCCUCUGCUUCAUCCCUCUAUUUCUCCCUCUCAUCUUUUCCCCGAAUUGAACAGAUAUGCCUGCCAUGUGCCCUGUAUUAUGACAUACCACAAACCAGAAAUCGAAACAACAGUAACAGAUAAAACUUUUUAAAAUGUGGACUGAAAUCAACUUUUAAAAAAUAAGUUGAUUACUUCAGUCAGUAUAAUAACACAAAACUAAUUAGCACACUGUAUCUUUUAAUACUAAAAUACAGAACAGAUAGAGAAAAAUAAAAGCUUUUUAAAGCUCAUUAUUAUGAUUGCAAUGGUGUUUUCCCCCUCAGAAUGCAGACACAGGGCUAUGACAGUUGUAGAGGAGUGUAACUUCAUUAAUCCCAGAUAACCCACACCGCCCAGUGUUCACAAUUCUGUGGUGUUCCCAUAUCUGUUGACUGUGACCUUUGCCAGUGGACCUUCUCAUGGAGAAUAAGUGGAAUCUUGGUGUCAAUAGAAAGGUUGGCCUUUCUGUAAUAUUCAUCUUAGGAGCUACCUAGAGAUAAAGAAGCUCUAACCGGAUGUGUGGAAGGAGAGAGAUGUUGGUUCUCAGCCAUCCUGUCCUACUAAGGCUCUGAGAUGUGUAACACCUUCUCGAAUAUUCCAGUCUCUGCCACCAUCAGACCACAAACACAGGAAACACUUUAUGUGGGUCCUUCUCAGCUGAGCCCCUACUGGCACAGUAAUGAACAAAUGAAACAGUUACCAUUUAGAUCUACUACGUGCUUUGUGGAGUAGCAGAUAACCAAAAACAAUGAGUGGAAACACACAGGCACAUGCUCUCUCUUUCUCUCUCUCUCUCUCUCUCAAGUGCAUGCAGCUAUGCACACUGACUAGACAGCUUUAAUAUACCUGAGAAACUAGAGCUUUCGAAGGUGUGCUCAGGUUAUCUGAGGUGACUCAACCCAUAUUGACAGCUUCCUAGUUAGUCUGCUCUCAAGGUGAGUUAGUGUUUCUUAGUUACUCCCAUAUUUCAUUAAGGAAAAAGUGAUAAAGAAGUUUCUGUUUCUUUCCAGUUAGCCCCCUAGAUCCAGAGGCACCCCCGGGAGGAAGCGGCUGGGGAAAUGUGUUUAUUUCUUCAGUGCGUGAGCACCAGGGAACCUGGGAGAAUUUAUACAUCCAUCAUUUCCAGUCAUUAGGCGACAUGUUGGUCAGCACAGGAGCCUCUCCUCUCAUUAAUUCAGGGGAGAGUUCCUCAUGUCACCCUCAUUAGUAUUUAUGGGGUUUAUCCACAUCAAUCGCUAGCGCAUUAACAGGGAAAUAACUAAACCUCCCAGGGUUUGUUGGCACUAAUAAAAUGAGCUGGAAUUUGCAGAAAUCACUGUGAUCAGAAGUAUUCUAAACCAGGGCCUGGAAUUGAUCCUUUCAAAGCACCCUCUGGAUGUUUUCCUGUGUAGUUCCCUGCCAGUGACAUUUGCAUAUAGCACACUACCUAAAACCUUCUGUGCAGCUUGAGGGACUGGCCAGUCUAUGUAUUUCCAUGAAGUGACAAGGGGAAGCCCAUGAGUAUUGAAAACAGCAUGGUCAGGCCAGAGCAUCUAUGUCCACAAAGAGUUAAGUUCCUUAUAAUUCAUUUUUGUUUGGUCCCAGCU
rnacentral:lncRNA from 1 species